rnacentral:lncRNA from 10 species
GUGCCCCACCCCGGGCACACGAGGCCUCCACUGCGGUUGCGCAGCCUGCCGAAGAGCGUGCGGCUUCUACUGCGGCUGCGCAAGCUCGACGCGCGCACUCUUGUCUGCUUACGAGGGCUCCUCCCUUCAGCUUUGGUCCCUCGGGGCGUCUGGGCAGCCUACGCUUUCCGACUGGAAUCAGCCAUUUUACCAAGAAAGUUGGGUUUCUUUUACUGGCAAAUAGUACUUCAAGAGCACAGUCUUAUGUAAGAGCUGCCAGGAACUCGUGGCAUCCCGGGAGCCGCCACAGCUGGACGCUGAUGGAGACCUGAAUGGGAGCUGAUGCCAAGUCCUGCUCCUUCUCGCCAGCCUGGAGCUGAACCAGCACCUGGUGGAGCUGAGGAAGGGGGGACAGCGUGUGGAGAUGCUUGUAUCUGGGACCCCCUGCCAUUUCUCAGGACACCCUCCUGCUCCUAGCUGGGAGAUCCAGCAUCCUCAUGAAUGCGGGGCCCAAGGCCACCAACUGUUCCACCUGCUGUCAGCCAGGCCUGUUGCCCCAGCCCUACACCCACAGCUCACCCAGCA